rnacentral:rRNA from 1 species
GACGAACGCUGGCGGCGUGCCUAAUACAUGCAAGUUGAGCGCUGAAGGUUGGUACUUGUACCAACUGGAUGAGCAGCGAACGGGUGAGUAACGCGUGGGGAAUCUGCCUUUGAGCGGGGGACAACAUUUGGAAACGAAUGCUAAUACCGCAUAAAAACUUUAAACACAAGUUUUAAGUUUGAAAGAUGCAAUUGCAUCACUCAAAGAUGAUCCCGCGUUGUAUUAGCUAGUUGGUGAGGUAAAGGCUCACCAAGGCGAUGAUACAUAGCCGACCUGAGAGGGUGGUCGGCCACAUUGGGACGGAGACACGGCCCAAACUCCUACGGGAGGCAGCAGUAGGGAAUCUUCGGCCAUGGACGAAAGUCUGACCGAGCAACGCCGCGUGAGUGAAGAAGGUUGUCGGAUCGUAAAACUCUGUUGGUAGAGAAGAACGUUGGUGAGAGUGGAAAGCUCAUCAAGUGACGGUAACUACCCAGAAAGGGACGGCUAACUACGUG